rnacentral:rRNA from 1 species
ACGCUGGCGGCGUGCCUAAUACAUGCAAGUCGAGCGGACAGAUGGGAGCUUGCUCCCUGAUGUUAGCGGCGGACGGGUGAGUAACACGUGGGUAACCUGCCUGUAAGACUGGGAUAACUCCGGGAAACCGGGGCUAAUACCGGAUGGUUGUUUGAACCGCAUGGUUCAAACAUAAAAGGUGGCUUCGGCUACCACUUACAGAUGGACCCGCGGCGCAUUAGCUAGUUGGUGAGGUAAYGGCUCACCAAGGCAACGAUGCGUAGCCGACCUGAGAGGGUGAUCGGCCACACUGGGACUGAGACACGGCCCAGACUCCUACGGGAGGCAGCAGUAGGGAAUCUUCCGCAAUGGACGAAAGUCUGACGGAGCAACGCCGCGUGAGUGAUGAAGGUUUUCGGAUCGUAAAGCUCUGUUGUUAGGGAAGA